UUUGAAUGUUAACUUUUAAAAAUAAUUCACAGUAUUUAAAAAUUAAUUUUAGUUAUAUAAGUUUUAUAGUUAUUAAAUAAUCACUGGAAUGUAUGCUAUUGUGGUUUUUGACAACGAGAUGAAAACUGAAUACAUUCCUUUCAAUUGGAUAAUCAAUAAAAUUGAACUUCAAGAAGUUUCAAUGUUGGUUAGGCAGCGUAUAGAACUAAAAUGCUACUGGCCUCCAUGGUCAAAUUCAGGCAAAGUCAGUAGAGCACAAAAGCAGUGCUCUGAACCUGAAAUAGAUUGGAAAACAUACUCUAUUCGAUUGUUAGCAGUUGCAGGUAAUAAGAAAGAAGCCUGUGAAAAGGUGACAAUUGCAGAAGAGACCUCUAAUGUCGAAGAGAACUUUACUAAGCAAAAAAGAAAAGUAAGAAAGAAAAAAAAGAUAUCUGAAAAGCUUCCUAAGCCUGUAAUACCAGAGAGACAGUCGGGGGUUUGUCAUUUUGAGAUUGAAAACAGUGGAUUGUUAACUCCUGUGGUACGCACAGAAUCGUCAGAAAAGGAAGUUCAGCACAGACAAAAUAAAACUUUUGAUUUACAGUCAGAAAGUGUUGUAAAGUCAAAAGAUAUGUCUGGUCUUCCUGGUAACACAAGUACUCCAUUGUUAAAAACGUUUGGUUACACUACAUCUGCAGAAAAAUUGUUGUUGAAAAUUUUGGCAUCUCAAGAAAAAUAAGAGAGACGCAAAAGUUGCAUUCAGCUAUGUUGCACAGCAUUCAGCAACAAAUUAAUUCAACGCAUGGCAUUACAGAGGAUGAAAUUGAAUUAAACUUACCACUUAAAACAACUGAAGAUGUCGAAGCUUUUGAAGAUAGGUUGAAAGAUGAAGAUGUUAAAAAAAAAUUGGUUCAGGUCCUUGUAAAUAAUGGUGGUAUGAAUAUAACAAAUUUUGUAAGAAGGAAUAUCAAAUUUUUAUUUUCUAAUGAACUGGCACGAAAAUAUAACCUAACUGGUCAGAAAAAUAAAAAACCAUUUCAGCCAUUGCAGCUAUUUCAAGUAAUGUUUUUGACUGGCGAUGAUCCAGCAGAAAUCUGUGGCGUAGUGUUUCCCCUGUGUUCAAAUAAUGCAAGAUCUUGCAGUGUGGGAUUGCAAUUCUUAAUGGUAUUGAUUUCUUUAUUUUCAUAGCAAAAAAAUUAUUAGUACUUUUACCCUAGGGGACCAUCCAUAAAGAAUGUCAUCUAAGUAGGGUGGUAGGGGUCAAGAUUAAAAAGACACAAGAGCGGAGGAGGGAGGUUGUCAGAAAAGGACAUCACUCUAUAGAUUUUUUAUUUCAAUUUUAUAAACAUGAAAAACUGUAACAUAAACAUGAAAAAAUGUAAAUAUGUGUUUUUAUGAAGAUAAUUUGAAAUAAUAUUUUUAAUUUUGUUUUUCAAAGGUGUAGGACAAGUGUCAAGCAUCAUUGUAAGAUCAAAUAAUUUUUUUUCCGGUUAAAAUAAUGGGGGCGGUAUCGAUUUUGUGACGUCUUUUUCAAGCGUAGGGGUACAGGAAAAAAGUACAACCGGUGACCAAGGAUGGGGGUCAAAAAAUGCCUAAAAAAGGUUCUUUAUGGAUGGCUCUUAUCUUGUGUCAUUGAUAAUUUUUUUCAUAUUUUCAAUAUUUGUAAAUAUUUAGGAAUUUAAGCGUCUAAAAAAAUGACAAUUUAUAGGAUUAAUGAAAAGUAUGGUUUAAGGUGGCCACAAAAAUAUAAAAGUAUGUAUUGAUUUAGAA